rnacentral:rRNA from 1 species
GCCUAAUACAUGCAAGUCGAACGGGAUUGAGAGCUUGCUUUCAUGAGAGUGGCGUACGGGUGCGUAACGCGUAUGCAACCUACCUUCAUCAGGGGGAUAGCCCGAAGAAAUUCGGAUUAACACCGCAUAAAAACACAGCUUGGCAUCAAGCAAUGUUCAAAUAUUUAUAGGAUGAAGAUGGGCAUGCGUGUCAUUAGCUAGUUGGUAAGGUAACGGCUUACCAAGGCUACGAUGACUAGGGGAUCUGAGAGGAUGACCCCCCACACUGGUACUGAGACACGGACCAGACUCCUACGGGAGGCAGCAGUAAGGAAUAUUGGUCAAUGGAGGCAACUCUGAACCAGCCAUGCCGCGUGCAGGAAGACUGCCUUAUGGGUUGUAAACUGCUUUUAUACGGGAAUAAACCUUAAUUCGUGAAUUAAGCUGAAUGUACCGUAAGAAUAAGGAUCGGCUAACUCCGUGCCAGCAGCCGCGGUAAUACGGAGGAUCCAAGCGUUAUCCGGAUUUAUUGGGUUUAAAGGGAGCGUAGGCGGCUUGUUAAGUCAGGGGUGAAAGACGGUGGCUCAACCAUCGCAGUGCCUUUGAUACUGACGAGCUUGAAUAUAGUUGAGGUAGGCGGAAUGUGACAAGUAGCGGUGAAAUGCAUAGAUAUGUCACAGAACACCGAUUGCGAAGGCAGCUUACUAAGCUAUUAUUGACGCUGAGGCUCGAAAGCGUGGGGAUCAAACAGGAUUAGAUACCCUGGUAGUCCACGCCCUAAACGAUGAUAACUCGAUGUUGGCGAUAUACAGUCAGCGUCCAAGCGAAAGCGUUAAGUUAUCCACCUGGGGAGUACGCCCGCAAGGAUGAAACUCAAAGGAAUUGACGGGGCCCGCACAAGCGGAGGAGCAUGUGGU